rnacentral:rRNA from 1 species
ACAUGCCUACAACAUAGUGUUAAUGCACCGAAUCCCAUUAGAACUUUGUAGUUAAGCAUUCUCAGGCUAGAAUUGUACUGGGAUGAGUGACCUCCUGGGAAGUCCUAGUGUUUUACAUGCC